ensembl:lncRNA
AGAGGACAAAACACCAUUCCUGUUCACGACCAAGGAGUGCUUGCCACAGCCCACCAUCUCCAGUGGCAAGGCUUUGCCACCACUUUGCCAUCACCACGGGGCACGGAGUGCCAUGAGCUGUGUGGAGCUGAGCAGUGAGGAGGAGAUGGCCGUGCACGUAGCGUGGAAGCUUUGACUUCAUGGAAGGAAAACACCUAUAUACCCGGUAGGGGAUGCCGUCUGAGGGGCUCGGGUGCAGGAGCAUUUCCUUCAUUUUUGAUGAAAUUAUUCUUCCUGUACUUCAUCCUUGUAAACCAUUGUUCACAGAUGUGCAUACUGCCAAAAAGCGAUGACAUGAAUAAGGUCUGGUUGUGAAGCGAAGGAUAUUUCUCUCUGGUAAGAGAGGGCUUAUAAAUGUCUGGUAAAGAGGCAUGACCAUGCCCCAGGGAGGGGCAGGCCGCAGGGUGGACCGGGCCAGGCUGUGUGUGGCCUGCAGGCUGCAGGGUGGACAUGACUGGUAUAAGCAGUUACAACCAUAUAUGUAAAGAGAAAUAAAAAUUGGCUAACUAAUGGGAAAAUUCAUGGUUUCCAUAUGUUGAACAGAACCCUUUUGUUUAAUGGACAGGUUCUGUUAUAGCUUAUAUUGUGUGGGGAGAAUAUCUGGAGGCCCCCAGGGCCUCCUGCUUUUUCCAGGCAGCGCACUAGGAUCUUGUUUUCCUUGUGCUGAUGCGUGGCAUUGUUAUUCCUUCAGCCAGUAUUGGCCCACACAGCACAGCGAUGUUUUAGUGCUGCUAUUAAAUAGAGUCCAAAUGCCUGAACAGGCGAGGGAGGCAGGGGACAAACAGCACGGCAGAGAGGCAGGCAAAUCAGCCGGCCUACAUGCUGCCCACGCACACUGCUGCUGGGGGUUUACCAUUUGAAUGAGUUUCCUGGGCACGACUGAGAUCUGAUUUCUAUUCAGCACAGUGGGAAAGCACAAGAACAAAAACAUGCAAGGAGAGAGGGGGAGAAAUGUCUCCCACAGCCACAUAUCCCUGCCUCUCUACCUGUGGCUGCUGGAGGCAGAGCUCUGUACAGGAGUUGAGCUUUGGGGUGACCUUGUGUUGCUGCUCGGCUUGAGCCUCAACGGCAGCACUGGAAGCCCUGUCAUCGGGCUCAUCACUUGUCAGGAUGAAGAGCUCACUUCUGCAGCAGGUGUCUUCAACUCAGAAAAGCCUGCUUGUGGACCCAGAGCCCAGAGGAGACAUUUGCUACAGCUCCCCCCCAAAAAGGUGAAAGUGGCAUUUAUUCUUCUGGUCAAGGAACAGAAAAAGACAGAACCCAGUUCCUCACACUUUUACAAAGAAUCACAGAAGUGCUCAGUUUUCAGCAGCUGUGUGGAGGAAGGUAAUAAAAUGAUUUGCCAGGAUUUAAUGGAAAAAAUGUGUUUCUGUUUCCCAUUAUUUUUCGCUCUGCUGUACAAUGCCUACGGCAAGUGGCCACUUAAACCUGUCCUGGAAACUGCUUCUGCACGUUGGCAGUGGUGCAGCGCGCAUCUGGGUGCUACAGACGGAGCCCGACGCGUUUCAGCUGCUGGCAAGGAGUCAGUGCAACGUGACAGUGGGGAGAGAAAGUGGAUUAGAAAAGGUAUUGCUGGCUAA